UCCCUGAUGGUCUAGUGGUUUGGACUCAGUGCUUUCACCGCUGUGUGCUGGGUUUGAUUCCCGGUCAGGGAA